rnacentral:rRNA from 1 species
AUUGAACGCUGGCGGCAUGCCUUACACAUGCAAGUCGAACGGCAGCGCGGACUUCGGCCUGGCGGCGAGUGGCGAACGGGUGAGUAAUACAUCGGAACGUACCCUGUUGUGGGGGAUAACUAGUCGAAAGAUUAGCUAAUACCGCAUACGACCUGAGGGUGAAAGUGGGGGACCGCAAGGCCUCACGCAGCAGGAGCGGCCGAUGUCUGAUUAGCUAGUUGGUGGGGUAAAGGCCCACCAAGGCGACGAUCAGUAGCUGGUCUGAGAGGACGAUCAGCCACACUGGGACUGAGACACGGCCCAGACUCCUACGGGAGGCAGCAGUGGGGAAUUUUGGACAAUGGGGGCAACCCUGAUCCAGCAAUGCCGCGUGUGUGAAGAAGGCCUUCGGGUUGUAAAGCACUUUUGUCCGGAAAGAAAUCGCGCUGGUUAAUACCUGGCGUGGAUGACGGUACCGGAAGAAUAAGCACCGGCUAACUACGUG